rnacentral:rRNA from 1 species
AGAGACCGGCGCACGGGUGCGUAACGCGUAUGCAAUCUACCUUUUACAGAGGGAUAGCCCAGAGAAAUUUGGAUUAAUACCUCAUAGUAUAGCUGUACCGCAUGGUACUACUAUUAAAGUCACAACGGUAAAAGAUGAGCAUGCGUCCCAUUAGCUUGUUGGUAAGGUAACGGCUUACCAAGGCAACGAUGGGUAGGGGUCCUGAGAGGGAGAUCCCCCACACUGGUACUGAGACACGGACCAGACUCCUACGGGAGGCAGCAGUGAGGAAUAUUGGUCAAUGGGCGCAAGCCUGAACCAGCCAUGCCGCGUGCAGGAUGACGGUCCUAUGGAUUGUAAACUGCUUUUAUACAGGAAGAAACAACUCUACGUGUAGAGUCUUGACGGUACUGUAGGAAUAAGGAUCGGCUAACUCCGUGCCAGCAGCCGCGGUAAUACGGAGGAUCCAAGCGUUAUCCGGAAUCAUUGGGUUUAAAGGGUCCGUAGGCGGUCUAAUAAGUCAGUGGUGAAAUCCUUCCGCUUAACGGGAGA